rnacentral:rRNA from 1 species
UACGUAGGCAGCGAGCGUUGUUCGGAAUUACUGGGCGUAAAGAGUUUGUAGGCGGUGCUCUAAGUUCGGUGUGAAAUCUCCUGGCUUAACUGGGAGGGUGCACCGGAAACUGGGGUGCUCGAGCGUGGGAGAGGAAAGCGGAAUUCCUGGUGUAGCGGUGAAAUGCGUAGAUAUCAGGAGGAACACCUGUGGUGUAGACAGCUUUCUGGACCAUUGCUGACGCUGAGACACGAAAGCGUGGGUAGCGAACAGG